rnacentral:misc_RNA from 1 species
GAUGAAGAACGUAGCGAAAUGCGAUACGUAAUGUGAAUUGCAGAAUUCAGUGAAUCAUCGAAUCUUUGAACGCACAUUGCGCCCGGUAGUAUUCUGCCGGGCAUGCCUGUUCGAGCGUCAUUUCAACCAUCAAGCCCCAGCGCUUGUGUUGGGGGCCUGCGGCUGCCGCAGCCCCCCAAAAGCAGUGGCGGGCUCGCUAUCACACCGAGUGCAGUAGUUCAUCUUCUCUCCGGUCUUGUGAGGCGGGUUCCGGCCGUGAAACACCCCACUACAUUCAAGGUUGACCUCGGAUCAGGUAGGAAUACCCGCUGAACUUAAGCAUAUCAAUAAGCGGAGGA